GUCCACGCCCUAAACGAUGCUCACUAGGUGUUGGGGAAGCGAUUCCUUGGUACCGUAGCUAACGCGUGAAGUGAGCCGCCUGGGGAGUACGGCCGCAAGGUUAAAACUCAAAGGAAUUGACGGGGACCCGCACAAGCGGUGGAUGAUGUGGAUUAAUUCGAUGCAACGCGAACAACCUUACCUACCCUUGACAUGUCUGGAAGCCUGCUGAAAGGUGGGUGUGCCUGAAAGGGAACCGGAACACAGGUGCUGCAUGGCUGUCGU
rnacentral:rRNA from 1 species